GUUUUCCUUCCCUUUCAUUAGAUGCUGAGCAGUGACUUUGAAAAACAAUCCCACUUGAGGUUCAACGACACCAAAUCCUUCCAAGAAGAUCUAUCUUUUCAAGUGGAGUGCUCUCCCAUUCUCCUGCGUUUAAUAUUAUUAACUGAUGUUAAACACUUGGAGAGCGUCAUAUGAGAUGUCAAGCCUUGGACAUUAUGUUCAUUUUCCGUUGCUUCCAAAAGUGCUUGUGAAAGAGGGUUU